GCGUCGCGCGGCGUCGGCGCUUCCACCGCGGAGGUCGCCCCCGAGUGGCCGAGAACACGAGGCUAGAGUUGACGACGAGGCGAACGGUGUCGGAAGUCGUGCAUGCGGGCUCAACGACCUGGUUGAGGACGAUGCCCACGCGGCCGCCGGUGGCGGCCGCGCAUCACGAUGAUGAGACGGGCGGUGCCUAUAGUCGUGCGUGGAUGCUCAACGACGAC
rnacentral:lncRNA from 1 species